rnacentral:rRNA from 1 species
AUUGAACGCUGGCGGCAGGCCUAACACAUGCCAGUCGAACGGUAACAGGGAUCAGCUUGCUGAUUCGCUGACGAGUGGCGGACGGGUGAGUAAUGUCUGGGAAACUGCCUGAUGGAGGGGGAUAACUACUGGAAACGGUAGCUAAUACCGCAUAACGUCGCAAGACCAAAGAGGGGGACCUUCGGGCCUCUUGCCAUCGGAUGUGCCCAGAUGGGAUUAGCUAGUAGGUGGGGUAACGGCUCACCUAGGCGACGAUCCCUAGCUGGUCUGAGAGGAUGACCAGCCACACGGGAACUGAGACAGGGCCCAACCUCCUAGGGGAGGCAGGAGUGGGGAAUAUUGCACAAUGGGGGAAAGCCUGAGGCAGCCAGGCCGCGUGUAUGAAGAAGGCCUUGGGGUUGUAAAGUACUUUCAGCGGGGGGGAAGGGAGUAAAGUUAAAACCUUUGCUCAUUGACGUUCCCCGCAAAAGAAGCACCGGCUAACUCCGG